rnacentral:rRNA from 1 species
GACGAACCGUGCGAACGUUGUUCGGAAUCACUGGGCUUAAAGGGCGCGUAGGCGGGCCGCCAAGUCCGGGGUGAAAGCUUCCGGCUUAACCGGAAAAGGGCCUUGGAUACUGGCGGUCUGGAGGGAGGUAGGGGUCUGCGGAACUGCUGGUGGAGCGGUGAAAUGCGUUGAUAUCUACAGGAACUCCGGUGGCGAAAGCGGCGCGCUGGACCUCUUCUGACGCUGAGGCGCGAAAGCUAGGGGAGCAAACGGG